AUCUUAACUUUAGCCUAUAUACUUUUACAUUUACUUUUUUCCCCCCAAAUCAUUUUUAUAUAUUAGUAUGGGCGACAGAAAAUUUUUUAGCGCAAUAGACAAUAGUACUACAAAGGAAAAAUGAAAUAGAAAUGAAAUAAACCAUAAAAAUACAAAAAAGCAAUGACAAAAACCUUUACCUUUUGCAUAAUGGUCUAGCCAGUCUACACUAACAAAAAGACCUUAAGUUAGAUAUCCCGAAACCAGGCGAGCUACCUCAAGACAGCAAUAUAUGAGCGAACCCGUCUCUGUAGCAAAAGAGUGGGAAGACCUUGAGAUAGAGGCGAAAAACCUAACGAGCCCGGAUAUAGCUGGUUACUUGAGAAUGAAUUUAAGUUCAACUAAAAGCACCGCCAUCACACAAAGAACGCUUUUAUUAUAAUUAAUUGGGGUACAGCCCAAUUAAUAAAGGAAACAACCUAAAUAAAUGAAUAAAGAUUAUAAUAUGCUUAAAAUUUAAUGACUGUGGGCCUAAAAGCAGCCACCACCAAAAGCGUCAAAGCUUAACUUAUAAAUACUUAUUAUACCAAUAGACAAUCCCAAUUCACCAAAAAAAUCAAGUAAAUUUAUAAUAUAAAUAAAUUACUGCUAGAAUGAGUAACAAGGAGUGACCUCUAUAAUAUAUGUGUAAAUCAAAAUGAACAAAUCACUGAUAAUUAACAAAAAUAUUUUAAUAAUAUAUACAAAAUGUUAACCCAACACAGGAAUAUUUAAGAAAGAUUUUAAAUCUAGAAAGGAACUCGGCAAAAAGAGCUUCGCCUGUUUACCAAAAACAUCGCCUCUUGCUAAACUAAUAUAAGAGGUACUGCCUGCCCAGUGACACCUGUUCAACGGCCGCGGUAUUAUGACCGUGCAAAGGUAGCGUAAUCACUUGCCCCUUAAAUGAGGGCCAGUAUGAAUGGCAAAACGAGAGCCCAACUGUCUCCCUAGAUCAAUCAGUGAAAUUGAUAUCCUCGUGCAGAAGCGAGGAUAGUUAUAUAAGACGAGAAGACCCUGUGGAGCUUUAAACCUAAUCUAAUUAUACCCAAUAUAAUUAAAGUAAAUAAUAUAGCACAAGGUCUUAGGUUGGGGCGACCCCGGGGUCAAAUAAAACCCCCGGAAUAAUAAACCAAGAAAAACACUUCAAAACAACAGUAAAACUGAUAUAAUUGACCCAAUAAUUGAUCAACGAACCAAGUUACCCCAGGGAUAACAGCGCAAUCUACUCUUAGAGUCCCUAUCGACGAGCAGGUUUACGACCUCGAUGUUGGAUCAGGACCCCCAAAUGGUGCAGCAGCUAUUAAAGGUUCGUUUGUUCAACGAUUAAAGUCCUACGUGAUCUGAGUUCAGACCGGAGUAAUCCAGGUCAGUUUCUAUCUAUAAAUAGUUUCUCCUAGUACGAAAGGACCGGAAAAACAAGGCCCAUAAAAAACUUACGCCUUCCCAUCUACCCCUAAAACCAAAUGAAGGGGAAAAAAUCAAAAAAUUAAGUUUAGACAUGACUU
rnacentral:rRNA from 1 species